rnacentral:tRNA from 15 species
GCGGGUGUGGCGGAAUUGGCAGACGCGCUAGAUUUAGGUUCUAGUGUCUCCGGACGUAUGAGUUCAAGUCUCAUCACCCGUA